UACGUAGGGUGCAGGCGUUAAUCGGAAUUACUGGGCGUAAAGCGUGCGCAGGCGGUGAUGUAAGACAGGUGUGAAAUCCCCGGGCUUAACCUGGGAAUGGCAUUUGGGACUGCAAGGCUUGAGUGCGGCAGAGGAGACUGGAAUUCCUGGUGUAGCAGUGAAAUGCGUAGAUAUCAGGAGGAAUACCGAUGGCGAAGGCAGGUCUCUGGGCUGACACUGACGCUCAUGCACGAAAGCGUGGGGAGCAAACAGG
rnacentral:rRNA from 1 species